rnacentral:lncRNA from 1 species
GUUCCUUUUAAAAUUUUCGAAUGUCUUAUAAUAUGACCAUGUAAUAAAAUAAAAUGUUUUUGCAUCCCAAAAAAAAAUGACUGGUACAUACGAUAUAUGUAGACAUAAGAAAACACUGGCUUUCCACUAUUGGUUGUGAAAUUGUGAAAUACUUUAUAAUUAAGCUGAAUUGUAUGGUUUGGUGCUCCAAAAUCUAUGUUUCAUCUUCUUAGUGUUGAUGGUAUUCUAAAAUUGUUUACGUUUCGACUUUAUCUUUUAAAAUAUGUACAUAUUCCUUUAAUUUCUGACUAUCCUUUUAAUGUGACCAGAACGGGAAUGAAAGAAAUCAUGGUUUUUAGUUUUGGUUUUGAUUUGUGGUAUAUGAUAUAUAUAGUUAAAAUGUAUGUUUAUUAUGAAGUUAAUUACAUCUAUCUUUUUCAGACAAAACGUCGCAGAUCGCCAGCGAUCAAAAUAAAACUUGUGCGACGAUACAAUGGUUACAUAAAAAACAAAUGGUCUUUUUACAUUAUAAUAUAUCAUUUCAAAUUAGAUUACACUAAAAGUCACUGUACAUGUUGAAUGACUUAUGUUUGUUAAACGUUUACUGAACAUAUCCAUACCUUUUAUGGACGAAUAUCAUCUAUUGUUGAUAUUUCUUGAACCGUGUGAAUGUUAAGUACCAUUUGCUCUAUUGUUAAUAACGCAAUUUUAAUUAAAAAG